rnacentral:rRNA from 1 species
AGUCGUAACAAGGUUUCCGUAGGUGAACCUGCGGAAGGAUCAUUACCGAGCUCCUGCCCCUCGGGGUAGAGACGCCACCCUUGUGUACCGGACAGUUGUUGCUUUGGCGGGCCCGCCCGCCAGAGACCCCAAACCCUGAGUGUUAGUGUCGUCGGAGUACUAUACAAUAGUUAAAACUUUCAACAACGGAUCUCUUGGUUCUGGCAUCGAUGAAGAACGCAGCGAAAUGCGAUAAGUAAUGUGAAUUGCAGAAUUCAGUGAAUCAUCGAAUCUUUGAACGCACAUUGCGCCCCCCGGCAUUCCGAGGGGCAUGCCUGUUCGAGCGUCAUAAUAGCCAAUCCAGCCCCGCUGGGUCUUGGGCUCGCCGGUAGGCGUCCCUCAAAGCCAGUGGCGGCGCCGCCCGGCUCCCGAGCGUAAUACAACCCCUCGCUACGGGACCCAGGCGCGCGCCCGCCAGCAACCCCCUUCUACGGUUGACCUCGGAUCAGGUAGGGAUACCCGCUGAACUUAAGCAUAUCAAUAAGCGGAGGAAAAGAAACCAACAGGGAUUACCUCAGUAACGGCGAGUGAAGCGGUAACAGCUCAAAUUUGAAAUCUGGCCCGUUCGCAGGCCCGAGUUGUAAUUUGUAGAAGAUGCUUUGGGUGCGGCACCGGCCUAAGUUCCUUGGAACAGGGCGUCAUAGAGGGUGAGAAUCCCGUAUGCGGCCGGCGGCCUGCGCCCGUGUAAAGCUCUUUCGACGAGUCGAGUUGUUUGGGAAUGCAGCUCAAAAUGGGUGGUAAAUUUCAUCUAAAGCUAAAUAUUGGCCAGAGACCGAUAGCGCACAAGUAGAGUGAUCGAAAGAUGAAAAGCACUUUGGAAAGAGGGUUAAACAGUACGUGAAAUUGUUGAAAGGGAAGCGCUUGCAGCCAGACUCGCGGGCCGUCGCUCACCCGGUGUUCUCACCGGGGCACUCGACGGCCCACGGGCCAGCAUCGGUUCGGGCGGCUGGACAAAGGUCGCGGGAAUGUGGCUCCCCCGGGAGCGUUAUAGCCCGCGGCGCAAUGCAGCCUGCCAGGACCGAGGACCGCGCUUCGGCUAGGAUGCUGGCGUAAUGGCUGUAAGCGACC